GUGGGGCCUAUACUGCAAGUCGAGCGGAACACUUCGGGUGUCGAGCGGCGGACGGCAGAGUAACACGUAGGAACGUACCCCAAACUGAGGGAUAAGCACCAGAAAUGGUGUCUAAUACCGCAUGUGAUCUUCGGAUUAAAGCUUCGGCGGUUUGGGAACGGCCUGCGCAUGAUUAGCUUGUUGGUGAGGUAAUUGCUCACCAAGGCGACGAUCAUUAGCUGGUCUGAGAGGAUGAUCAGCCUGACUGGGACUGAGAACGGCCCAGACUCCUACGGGAGGCAGCAGUAGGGAAUUUUCCACAAUGGGCGAAAGCCUGAUGGAGCAACGCCGCGUGCAGGAUGAAUGCCUUCGGGUUGUAAACUGCUUUUAUCUGUGACGAUAUUGACGGUAGCAGAUGAAUAAGGAUCGGCUAACUCCGUGCCAGCAGCCGCGGUCAUACGGAGGAUCCAAGCGUUAUCCGGAAUUACUGGGCGUAAAGAGUUGUGUAGGCGGUUUGUAAAGCAAAUAGUGAAAGCGUGGGGCUCAACCUCAUAACCAUUAUUUGAACUCACAGACUAGAGUGUGGAAGAGGUAGCUGGAAUUCCUUGUGUAGGAGUGAAAUCCGUAGAUAUAAGGAGGAACACCGAUGGCGUAGGCAGGCUACUGGUCCAUUACUGACGCUCAGACACGAAAGCAUGGGGAGCGACCGGGAUUAGAUACCCCGUUAGUCCAUGCCGUAAACGAUGGAUGCUAGCUGUGUGGAGUAUCGACCCUCUACGUAGCGAAGCUAACGCGUUAAGCAUCCCGGCCUGUGGAGUACGAGCGCAAGCUUAAAACAUAAAAGGAAUUGACGGGACCCGCACAGGCGGUGGAGCGUGUCUUUAUCGAUGAUAGCGAGACCCUUACCCAGGCUUGACAUC
rnacentral:rRNA from 1 species